UCACAGUUUGCACUGGCAGUCUUGUUAGAGUUCCCGACAUGACUCGCUGGCAACUAGCAACAGGGGUUGCGCUCGUUAUAGGACUUAACCUGACACCUCACGGCACGAGCUGACGACAACCAUGCAGCACCUGUGUGCAGGUCCCCGAAGGGAAGGAAUCCAUCUCUGGAAGCCGUCCUGCCAUGUCAAGGGCUGGUAAGGUUCUGCGCGUUGCUUCGAAUUAAACCACAUGCUCCACCGCUUGUGCAGGCCCCCGUCAAUUUCUUUGAGUUUUAACCUUGCGGCCGUACUCCCCAGGCGGAUGACUUAACGCGUUAGCUGCGCCACCGAAGCGCUAAGCGCCCCGACAGCUAGUCAUCAUCGUUUACGGCGUGGACUAC
rnacentral:misc_RNA from 1 species